GUUGAACGCUGGCGGCAGGCCUAACACAUGCAAGUCGAGCGGAGCGGCGGACGGGUGAGUAAUGCCUAGGAAUCUGCCUGGUCGUGGGGGAUACCGUCCGGAAACGGGCGCUAAUACCGCAUACUAUCAGAUGAGCCUAGGUCGGAUGAGCUAGUUGGUGGGGUAAAGUCCUACCAAGGCGACGAUCCGUAACUGGUCUGAGAGGAUGAUCAGUCACACUAGAACGGAGACACGGUCCAGACUACUACGGGAGGCAGCAGUGGGGAAUAUUGGACAAUGGGCGAAAGCCUGAGCCAGCCAUGCCGCGUGUGGGAAGAAGGUCAUCGGAUUGUAAAGCACUUUAAGUUGGGAGGCGUUACCAACAGAAUAAGCACCGGCUAACUUCGUGCCAGCCGCCGCGGUAAUAC
rnacentral:rRNA from 1 species